UACAGAGGUCUCAAGCGUUGUUCGGAUUCAUUGGGCGUAAAGGGUGCGUAGGCGGCGCGGUAAGUCGGGUGUGAAAUCUUGGAGCUUAACUCCGAAACUGCAUUCGAUACUGCCUUGCUUGAGGACUGGAGAGGAGACUGGAAUUUACGGUGUAGCGGUGAAAUGCGUAGAUAUCGUAAGGAAGACCAGUGGCGAAGGCGGGUCUCUGGACAGUUCCUGACGCUGAGGCACGAAGGCCAGGGGAGCAAACGGG
rnacentral:rRNA from 1 species